rnacentral:lncRNA from 1 species
UUACUUUCAUAUUAGUGCUUUCCUAAUAAAUUCCCAGCCCUUUUAACUUCACUCGAAAAGGCUAUACAGUUGUCCGAGAGAUGAAGUUUUGGCUCUCAAGAAAUUCUGUACGAUUGGUACGAUCAUCAUGAUUUAACUGGCCUCGGGAACGUACAACCUUCAUCACCGCACUUGUUCCUUUUAGUCCUCCUUUCUGUCUUCUUGCAACAUCUCGUUUUACUGAUUUAGAAGGUUUCCUCGUCUUACUGAACAGAAAUUUUUGCAACAUGCAUAUGAUAAGAAGCAAGAUGAAAGUGCAGAAAACAUAACUAUUACUAAGUGAGGAUAGGUUUAUUCAAUAGGCUGAAUUUGAUUUGAGAUAGUGAAUGUUAUUACUAAGUGAGCUAUUAGCUUGUUGCAAUCAGUAAGAGAGGGGAUAAAAUAUUACUUAAGAAUAUAACUCUAAUAAAGGGGAAUUACUUAGUCCUACAACUAGAGAAUUUGAAGUAGAGAAAAAGUAAUUAGUAGGGGACAAAA